rnacentral:rRNA from 1 species
AUUGAACGCUAGCGGCAGGCCUAACACAUGCAAGUCGAACGAGUGGCGGACGGGUGAGUAAUGUCUGGGAAACUGCCUAGUAGCGGGGGAUAACUACUGGAAAGGGUGGCUAAUACCGCAUACCAUUGGAGCGGCCGAGAUGGGAUUCGCUAGUAGGUGGGGUAACGGCUCACCUAGGCAACGAUCCGUAGCUGGUCUGAGAGGAUGACCAGCCAAACUGAGACUGAGACACGGCCCAGCCUCCUACGUGAGGCAGCAGUGGGGAAUAUUGCACAAUGGGCGCAAGCCUGAUGCAGCCAUGCCGCGUGUAUGAAGAAGGCCCUAGGGUUGUAAAGUACUUUCAGUCGGGAGGCGUUACCGGCAGAAGAAGCACCGGCUAACUCCGUGCCAGCAGCCGCGGUAAUUC